rnacentral:rRNA from 1 species
CUACGGGUCGCUGCAGUGGGGAAUAUUGCACAAUGGAGGAAACUCUGAUGCAGCAAUGCCGCGUGGAGGAUGACACUUUUCGGAGCGUAAACUCCUUUUAUAUAGGAAGAUAAUGACGGUACUAUAUGAAUAAGCACCGGCUAACUCCAUGCCAGCAGCCGCGGUAAUACGGAGGGUGCAAGCGUUACUCGGAAUCACUGGGCGUAAAGAGCGUGUAGGCGGGUUAAUAAGUCAGAAGUGAAAUCCUAUGGCUCAACCAUAGAACUGCUUUUGAAACUGUUAACCUAGAGUGUGGGAGAGGUAGAUGGAAUUUCUGGUGUAGGGGUAAAAUCCGUAGAGAUCAGAAGGAAUACCGAUUGCGAAGGCGAUCUACUGGAACAUAACUGACGCUGAGACGCGAAAGCGUGGGGAACAAACAGGAUUAGAUACCCCAGUAGUC